AAAUAUACUGGUUGAUCUAGAUUCGUUAGUGAUUUCAAUCGUCUUGAUUCCUUCAACGAUUUCAUGUCCUAAAUUGAAUGUCUUAUUUUCUUCAACUCUUUUUGUCGGUCCCUUUACACUCACACCGCCCCCACCAUAACGACUGUUAUCGCUGGCGUCAAGGCUUUUGGGUAUCGGCUAUUUUAGGUACGGAACAAAGGGAAUACGCCGGCUAUACCCAUUACCAAUUCUGUUUGUUGUUCUAGGACCCAGGUAUGAACAGUCCCACUUUCCAAAAUCGAACCUUUAAUUUAGGUUUUCUUCUGAUUCUGAUUCGGAUUAGGGUUCAAUUUCUUUGCCGGUGUUAGGUUUGGAGUCUCAUGAGGUGCUUAGGAUUUCGCUACAAGAUGAGCAACGGUUGUGGUCGGUCUUUGUCUUCCCAAACUCUACCUGCAAAUAUGGCGACUCAAUUGAGUAAAAAACGAAAGGUUAGUCCUACCCACAAUUGUUUCGUUCUUCUUCGAUUAUUAGGUUCAAAGUCUUCCCAUGAUUUUCUUAUCUAAUUCAAACUCCAAAUUUGGUGGUAAAGGAAUAAUCUAGACUAAUAUGCAAUUCAUACUUCAAUUAACAAACCAUCCGAAGGCUUUUUACAAGCUACAUAUGUAUUAAUCAUUUACUGAUUUUAGGUGAGAUUUCCAAUGAUUUUUCAGGUCAAAAACUCAUAAGGGAAGUUCCAUUUGUUUUUAUAAUUCCACCUCCAAAGUGUGCCUACAUUGGAGUAUGAAUCUAAAAUAUGUUAUUGUUUGGGUUUAUUUAAUUUAUUAUGAAGUUCCAAAGAGCCGUAGAUAUACCAUACUCGAUUGCUUUAAAUUUUAUGUUUAACAGGGUUUAAUAUCACUAAUUCUGCCAUUGAAGCAUAUAUGAUUCCCUUUACUCUUGGAGAAUUCAAUUGUUAAAUGGAGCUAAACCAUCAUCCACUAGGUCAUACUUGCAUCAUAAAUUGGGUGUAAUUGUCAGACCCUUCAGCUCGACACCUUUUGGAAAUGAAAUUAUUGGGAUCAAUUUGGGUACCACAAACUCAUGCGUUUCAGUCAUGGAGAGAAAGGAAAAAAAGAGGGGAUUUUUUUUGCACAUGUGUAAUUCGUCCAGCUGCUAUCUAUGGUCCUGGAGAAGAAAAGAUACACCAGUUUUUCAAAGCAACCAACUUAUAUCAAACGGGUCAUUAAUUGAUUUUAUAUUAAUCACAUUCUCAUUUUUUAAGGCAAAAAGAUUCAUGUUGCAAUCGUGGUCUAUGAGUCUAGUCUGGUGAGUUUAGUGAUCUGGAUAUAUCAUUCUAAUCACAUCCAAAUGUGUAAUGAUUAUGUAAUUGUGCAUACGAAAGUACAUGCCUUUAUUAGACAAAACAUAACAAUACAUUUCCAUUUUCGACCUCA